UACGUAGGGUGCAAGCGUUGUCCGGAAUUAUUGGGCGUAAAGAGCUUGUAGGCGGUUUGUCGCGUCUGCUGUGAAAUUUCGGGGCUCAACCCCGAACUUGCAGUGGGUACGGGCAGACUAGAGUGUGGUAGGGGAGACUGGAAUUCCUGGUGUAGCGAUGAAAUGCGCAGAUAUCAGGAGGAACACCGAUGGCGAAGGCAGGUCUCUGGGCCAUAACUGACGCUGAGACGCGAAAGCGUGGGGAGCAAACAGG
rnacentral:rRNA from 1 species